rnacentral:rRNA from 1 species
UGGGGAAUAUUGGACAAUGGGCGGAAGCCUGAUCCAGCCAUGCCGCGUGUGUGAAGAAGGCCUUUUGGUUGUAAAGCACUUUAAGCGAGGAGGAGGCUACUUGGAUUAAUACUCUAGGAUAGUGGACGUUACUCGCAGAAUAAGCACCGGCUAACUCUGUGCCAGCAGCCGCGGUAAUACAGAGGGUGCGAGCGUUAAUCGGAUUUACUGGGCGUAAAGCGUGCGUAGGCGGCUUCUUAAGUCGGAUGUGAAAUCCCUGAGCUUAACUUAGGAAUUGCAUUCGAUACUGGGAAGCUAGAGUAUGGGAGAGGAUGGUAGAAUUCCAGGUGUAGCGGUGAAAUGCGUAGAGAUCUGGAGGAAUACCGAUGGUGAAGGCAGCCAUCUGGCCUAAUACUGACGCUGAGGUACGAAAGCAUGGGGAGCAAACAGG